UUUUAUUUAUUAUCGUAUAUAACUUAAAUAAUUUAUACGUCUCUAGAUAUUUAGAUAUAUAGAUUCUAUUCUAUUCUUUCUAGUGGCUUCUGUGGAAGGGGCACCACAACUCGCCAAUGUCACGUUUCAGUAGACCAACAAGCUUAGAGUGUGUCAACUAUCAUUUGAUCGGUGUAAACGAAUUUACAAGUGAUAAUAGUAAUGACCGGUGCCCAGAAUCAAAUCAGAUUUAUUUUCUUAUUAUACCUGAAACAAAUAUACUAAUGUCCAUUAUAAUGGACAAACACUGAUAAUAUUACUUAUAUAAAACAUUUAUUGUGUUAGUUAUAACUUAAUAUUAUUUUGUUUAAUAUAUUUACAUAAAGUAUUUACAAAAGGAGUGAAAACAAAGGUGAGGAGGCAUUUCAUGGAGGUGGGGCGGGGGAUUUCAGGAGGUAUAAAGUUGUACAAGGAAGACUUCAUUAAAGGGCAAUUAAAGAAUAAAUGGUCUACAUUUCCCUCAUCAAGUCCACAGUCACAUAGAGAAUGGUCUCUAAUUCUUAAUUUGGCUAAGAAUACUGGAGUGCAAGAGUGGUUUAAGCGUAACCGGCAUGUUGAUAUUAUUGAUUUAUUGGGGAAUUUAAAUUUCGAGAACCACGGUUUUAAAGGGAUUACAGGUUGUAUAUCACCAUAAAAGACGCCUUUAGAAGUUUUGGAAACCUGCCAGAUGUUUGACCACCUCUCAAACAUAUUUAUUUUCAAGGUGGAGCACAAGUCAUGAGAGAAGAUUUGAGAAUGUUGUUGGGAACCUGUGUGAGCAGCUGACCUGGCACAAGCAUCAGCAUUUUCAUUGCCGAUUAUACCUGCAUGGCCUGGUAUCCAUGCUAGAACUAUGUUGAUGUUGAGAUCAUAGCACUCUUUUAAGUUUUCUCUUAUCUUAAAUAUGAUUGGAAUCCUACUUUUUGAGCGAAAUGGAUUUGAGAGGAUGGAUUGAAGGCAGCUUUUGGAGUCCGAUAAUAUAAUAGAAUUGUGUAGGCCAUGGGACUUAAUAAAUAAAAUAGCUUCAAGUAUAGCAAUUGCUUCCCCUGUGAAUACCGAAGUGACAGUUGGGCAGCUAUAACUUAAUACAAUUCUUGUGGAGGGGAUCCAUACUGCAACACCAACUGGGCUCAUGUGUGUUUUAGAAGCAUCAGUGAAAAUCUUAUGCCAAUUUUGGAAAUCUGAAUGCAUAACAUGAGAAAAUGUUUUGUUAGCUUCUAUGGUGUACUUAUUAAUGCCCAGAUCUAAAAUUAUUAAGGGUUGGAAGGUGAAGGGAAGAGUGCAUUGAAAGGCUUUGAGAAUAGGGGUAAUUUCGAAUGUUGAAAAAAGGGGUUAGGGAGGUGAGAGUACAAUAGCAAAAGGUGAUCCCGGAAUUCCGCUAAUUUAAAGAACUGUUUAUUAGUGAGGAACUGUCGACGAAGCGAUAGGGGAGGUUCUACACACUCGACCUGCAUAGCAUUAAGAGGACUAGAUUUCAUAGCUCCUAAUAUAAUACGCAAACAUUUUGCCUGUAAUUUGUCUAACUUAUCUAAACCUGCCUUAUUGCCUGGAAUCAAAAGUAACGUGCCAUAAUCCAUGUGGCUAUGAAUUAUGGCAUUGUAAAGCAAUCUUUGGGUGAAGGGGUGAGCCGCCCACCAAACGCCAGAUAAUGAGCGAAGGAUAUUAAUAUUUUUUUCACACUUUUGACAGAUGUAGUUAAAGUGCUUUACACCUGUCAAUUUUUCAUGUAACCAUACACCCAAGAACUUAACAUUAUCGACAAAAGGAACUUGAAUAUUGUAAAUUUUGACUUUGAUUGCAGGGAGAUGUCUUUUGUUGGUGGAGAGAACUACCCUACUUUUGGAAGGUGAUAGUGUUAGCCCAUGUUGCAAGAGGUAUGAUGAGAGAUAUUCUAGAGCAUGACUCAAACAAUUAGAAGAAUCCUGUAUAGACUUAUCAGAAGUAUAUAGAACAAUAUCAUCUGCAUAUUGCAAGAUUUGGCAAAAGGGGGUAACUGUGCUAGAAAUAUCAGAGGUAUACAGGUUGUAUAGUAAAGGACUGAGAACAGAACCUUGAGGUAAACCUUUCCAAACUGAUUUUGGAGAUAGGUAUGAGGAUGGGCCUUUAAUGGUAAUUGUUCGCUCCAUUAGCAUAUUGCAUAUGAAUUGAGUUAACUUCGCUGGAAUACUCAGCUGAAUGAGUUUGCUCCUGAGCAGAGGAAGAGACAUGUUAUCAUACGCGGAUUCUAUAUCUAGAAAAACUGCCAAAAGAGGUUCUUUUUGGAAAAGUGCUAAUCUUAUAUCAGUGGUAAGGAUACCCAAGCUAUCUAAUGAGCUCUUCCCCUUUCUGAAUCCAUACUGGGAAUCGGAAAUGAGGCUAUUGUAUUCAACAAACCACUCAAGUCGAUGUUUCAUCAUAUGUUCACAUAUUUUUGCAAGAGCAGAUGAUAGGGCAAUUGGUCUAUAACUGGUGGCUUUAGAUGGACUCUGACCUGGUUUGAGUAUAGGAAUGAUCACUUGAUUUUUCCAAGAUGGAGGUAGGCACCGACAUCAAAUAGGUUAUUGAUAAUUUUGUGAUAUUCUUGGGAUCUGAUUGAAGAUUGUUGAAGGAAAGAAUAGGGGAUGCCAUCGGCCCCGGGAGAAGUGUCAACUAAGCCAUCCAAUGUCAGAAGAAGUUCUGAAAAAGAGAAAGGGGAGUCUAAACUAUGAGUUGAUGAGAGAGGGAUUGGAGGUGAAGGGAGAUAGUCUUCAUUAGGAACUGAAGGGGGUGAAAACCUAUCUGCAAAGGAUUCAAGCCAUACAGAUGGAUCUACACUUGAGUCAUGCUUCAAAGUAUUGUAAGAACCCCUAAAUUUUUUAACUUGUUUCCAUACAAUUGUAGAUGGAGUACAGGGAGAUAAGCUCUGGCAAAAAUUGAUCCAACUUUUGCUCGGGCAAAUAAAUUAGUGGCCUUGGCAGCAGCUUUUUUAUAAUUAAUGAAGUUGGUCAAAGUCAUGCUCCUAUUAUAUGUUUUUUCUGCUAAUUUUCUAUCCUUAGCAGCCUUGGUGCAUUCUGAAUCCCACCAAGGAGUUGAAAUUUUACUAUUGGAUGGUUUUUUUAUGGGAAAAUUUUGGUCAGCACUAAAUAUCAUGGCCUCUGCUAAUUUAUUAUAAUUUUCAACAGCAUUUGAAUGGUUAGGAUCGGGAAAGCUUAAAAUUUUUUCAUCAAGGCAAGUGGAAAAUUGCUCCCAAUUAGCAUUUGUUAAUCUGUAUUUGAGAGAAGGGGAAAAAUUUUGAGCAGGGAUUACUUUAUCAGGUAAAUGAAAUGAUAAUAGGAUAGCGAUCACUGCCAUUUGAAUUUUGAAGGAUGUUCCAAGAAAUAAGAGAAGCAAGACAAGGAGAACAUAGGGUCAGGUCAACUGCACUUUUUGGAUUUUGAGAAGGAGCAACCCUGCGGGUUGGAGAGCCGUCAUUUAUUAUGCAGAGAUUACAUUCAUCAAAAAUAUCAAGAAGGGAAAGAGAAAAAUAAUCAGUAGUGCUAGAGCCCCAAGACAUGUGAUGUGCAUUAAAAUUUCCCAUCAGAAAUUUUGGGAUUUAUAACACCUUGAGUUGGAUCUGCAUGUAGUUUUAAUGUUUCCAAAUCUGCAGCAGUUCUGACAUAGACGUUUAAAUGAUCUAAGGAUUAUAAAAUAUAUUUUAAUUAAUUCUUGAAUAUACAUACAUAAGAAUUUUG